AGCUUUAUAGUUUAAAUAAAAACAUAAAUUUUGUAAAUUUAAAUUAAAAUCAAUAAAUUUUAAAGCUU
rnacentral:tRNA from 1 species